rnacentral:rRNA from 1 species
CCUACGGGGGGCAGCAGUGGGGAAUAUUGGGCAAUGGGCGCGAGCCUGAACCAGCCAAGUCGCGUGAGGGAUGACUGCCCUACGGGUUGUAAACUUCUUUUAUGAAGGAAUAAAGUGAGGCACGUGUGCCUUAUUGUAUGUACUUUAUGAAUAAGGAUCGGCUAACUCCGUGCCAGCAGCCGCGGUAAUACGGAGGAUCCGAGCGUUAUCCGGAUUUAUUGGGUUUAAAGGGAGCGUAGAUGGGUUGGUAAGUCAGUUGUGAAAGUUUGGGGCUCAACCGUAAAAUUGCAAUUGAUACUGGCAGCCUUGAGUACAGGUGAGGUAGGCGGAAUUCGUGGUGUAGCGGUGAAAUGCGUAGAUAUCACGAAGAACUCCGAUUGCGAAGGCAGCUUACUAAACUGCCACUGACACUGAUGCACGAAAGUGUGGGUAUCGAACAGGAUUAGAUACCCCAGUAGUC